GAGACUAGGGAGUCUGUCCGCCAUUGUGGACCCGAGAAGCAGAGAGCGAGAGGGGGAAGAGGAGCGUGCAAGCGGAAAAGACGGGCCUCUUCCUCCGACUCCCGAGCGCGAGGCCCUCAUUUUGGGUUCUCAGCGAGCGGCGGCAGCGGCAGCGGCUGGAACAAUCACUCGGCCAAGGGCGACAGCCAACUGCUGUGAGUGCACGGGGAGAGGCCCAGGCAGCGGCGGCGGCGGCGGCGGCGGCGGCGGCUCUCGGGUUGCGGUGAAGAAUGUCAGCCACUAGCGUGGAUCAGAGACCUAAAGGGCAAGGAAAUAAAGUUUCAGUACAAAACGGUUCGAUUCAUCAAAAAGAUGCUGUAAAUGAUGAUGAUUUUGAGCCAUACUUAAGUAGCCAGACAAAUCAGGUAAGUCUUCUGACAGUUUCAGAUUUUAGGAAAUUAACCUUUUAUUGUAUUAAUUGAUUUUUCAAAUAGAUAUUUAAUGAGAUUAACCAUAACAUGGAUUCAUUCAUCUAGUGUACCUAUAUAGUAAGUGAGUAGUGAGUAGCAGUUGCAGAUUUAUGGCACAAGAGAGUUCUUCUUCAGAAAGUACAGGCACCAGAAACUAGGUUAUGAAAUACAGAAUAAAGAUUUGAAGGUGACCAUUAUUUGUAUGUAUUAUGGUUAGGUUUUUUGUGUGUGUGUAUU
rnacentral:sRNA from 1 species